UUGAUUCCAGAUCACUUUCUCCAGCUCUCUCUCUCUCUCUACUUUUUCAUUCUAGAACAUUCUCUAGCUCUCUAUGUGAUAAGAAACAGAGAAAGAACAAGCAAGAGAUAUCUUGCUUGCUCCAUCAUUAAUCAAAGGACACAGUGAUCAUGGUCCGCUUUUUGUCGUCAUUCACGAGGUGGAUUCACGUAAAGCUCAUUUACAGACACAAUGGAGAAGGAGAAGUGAGAAGUGAGAACAUACCAUUUUUGUUUCCUUCGUACAAUGUGAAAACUGAAAUAACAUUGUUGAAUAUGUUAGCGAAUAAACCAACUAGGCCAUGUCCAAGACUCAACUUCAAGUCCCAAUAGCAGAAAAACCUUCCUGGAUUUUUUGACCCUCAGAGCCGUGGUAUAUAGGGCAUCUGCCUUCAAACAUUAUACAUAAUUGAUUGGUUUUUGCUUUAACUCA